rnacentral:rRNA from 1 species
CGACCGGCGCACGGGUGAGUAACACGUAUCCAACCUGCCGAUAACUCGGGGAUAGCCUUUCGAAAGAAAGAUUAAUAUCCGAUAGCAUAUCAAGAUCGCAUGAUCUUGAUAUUAAAGAAUUUCGGUUAUCGAUGGGGAUGCGUCCCAUUAGUUAGUUGGCGGGGUAACGGCCCACCAAGACGACGAUGGAUAGGGGUUCUGAGAGGAAGGUCCCCCACAUUGGAACUGAGACACGGUCCAAACUCCUACGGAAGGCAGCAG